rnacentral:rRNA from 1 species
CAUGUCUUUUUGAUAAUAAUUUAAGGUCUGAUCUGCUCAAUGAGGAAUUAAAUUGCCGCAGUAUUUUGACUGUGCAAAGGUAGCAUAAUAAUUAGCUUUUUUAUUGGGAGCUGGAAUGAAUGAUUGGACAAGAAAAUUUCUGUCUCUUUAUUAUUUUUAUUGAAGUUUACUUUUAAGUUAAAAGGCUUAAAUGGGUUUAAAAGACGAGAAGACCCUAUAGAGUUUAAUUAUUUUUUGAUUAGGAUUUUUUUGGAAGUUAAAAAAUUUUAUUUGUUAAAUAAUUUGGUUGGGGUGACUGAAAGAUAAGAUAAACUCUUUUAAUUAUUAUCAAUUAUAAUUGAAUGUUAAAUCUAUAUUAAUAAAUUUAAAAUAAAUUACCUUAGGGAUAACAGCGUAAUUUUUCUUUAGAGUUCUUAUUAAAAGAAGAGUUUGCGACCUCGAUGUUGGAUUAAAAUUUAUUUUGGGUGAAGAAGCUUGAAAAUUAAGUCUGUUCGACUUUUAAAAUUUUACAUGAUCUGAGU